rnacentral:rRNA from 1 species
UACAUGGGGUGCAAACGUUGCUCGGAAUCAUUGGGCGUAAAGCGCGCGUAGGCGGUUACUUAAGUCGAAUGUGAAAGCCCUCGGCUUAACCGAGGAAGUGCAUCCGAAACUGAGUAGCUAGAGUACGAAAGAGGGUCGCGGAAUUCCCGGUGUAGAGGUGAAAUUCGUAGAUAUCAGGAGGAACACCUACGGCGAAGGCAGCUCGCUGGGACGGUACUGACGCUGAGACGCGAAAGCGUGGGGAGCAAACAGG